GCUUGGGUGGCUCAGUUAAGUGUCUGACUUCAGCUCAGGUCAUGAUCUCUCGGUUUGUGGGUUCAAGCCCCGUCUCAGGCU
rnacentral:tRNA from 1 species